CUAAGGUCCCAAAGUCAUGGUUAAGUGGGAAACGAUGUGGGAAGGCCCAGACAGCCAGGAUGUUGGCUUAGAAGCAGCCAUCAUUUAAAGAAAGCGUAAUAGCUCACUGGUCGAGUCGGCCUGCGCGGAAGAUGUAACGGGGCUAAACCAUGCACCGAAGCUGCGGCAGCGACGCUGAUGCGUUGUUGGGUAGGGGAGCGUUCUGUAAGCCUGUGAAGGUGUGCUGUGAGGCAUGCUGGAGGUAUCAGAAGUGCGAAUGCUGACAUAAGUAACGAUAAAGCGGGUGAAAAGCCCGCUCGCCGGAAGACCAAGGGUUCCUGUCCAACGUUAAUCGGGGCAGGGUGAGUCGACCCCUAAGGCGAGGCCGAAAGGCGUAGUCGAUGGGAAACAGGUUAAUAUUCCUGUACUUGGUGUUACUGCGAAGGGGGGACGGAGAAGGCUAUGUUGGCCGGGCGACGGUUGUCCCGGUUUAAGCGUGUAGGCUGGUUUUCCAGGCAAAUCCGGAAAACUAAGGCUGAGGCGUGAUGACGAGGCACUACGGUGCUGAAGCAACAAAUGCCCUGCUUCCAGGAAAAGCCUCUAAGCAUCAGGUAACAUCAAAUCGUACCCCAAACCGACACAGGUGGUCAGGUAGAGAAUACCAAGGCGCUUGAGAGAACUCGGGUGAAGGAACUAGGCAAAAUGGUGCCGUAACUUCGGGAGAAGGCACGCUGAUAUGUAGGUGAAGUCCCUCGCGGAUGGAGCUGAAAUCAGUCGAAGAUACCAGCUGGCUGCAACUGUUUAUUAAAAACACAGCACUGUGCAAACACGAAAGUGGACGUAUACGGUGUGACGCCUGCCCGGUGCCGGAAGGUUAAUUGAUGGGGUCAGCGCAAGCGAAGCUCUUGAUCGAAGCCCCGGUAAACGGCGGCCGUAACUAUAACGGUCCUAAGGUAGCGAAAUUCCUUGUCGGGUAAGUUCCGACCUGCACGAAUGGCGUAAUGAUGGCCAGGCUGUCUCCACCCGAGACUCAGUGAAAUUGAACUCGCUGUGAAGAUGCAGUGUACCCGCGGCAAGACGGAAAGACCCCGUGAACCUUUACUAUAGCUUGACACUGAACAUUGAGCCUUGAUGUGUAGGAUAGGUGGGAGGCUUUGAAGUGUGGACGCCAGUCUGCAUGGAGCCGACCUUGAAAUACCACCCUUUAAUGUUUGAUGUUCUAACGUUGACCCGUAAUCCGGGUUGCGGACAGUGUCUGGUGGGUAGUUUGACUGGGGCGGUCUCCUCCUAAAGAGUAACGGAGGAGCACGAAGGUUGGCUAAUCCUGGUCGGACAUCAGGAGGUUAGUGCAAUGGCAUAAGCCAGCUUGACUGCGAGCGUGACGGCGCGAGCAGGUGCGAAAGCAGGUCAUAGUGAUCCGGUGGUUCUGAAUGGAAGGGCCAUCGCUCAACGGAUAAAAGGUACUCCGGGGAUAACAGGCUGAUACCGCCCAAGAGUUCAUAUCGACGGCGGUGUUUGGCACCUCGAUGUCGGCUCAUCACAUCCUGGGGCUGAAGUAGGUCCCAAGGGUAUGGCUGUUCGCCAUUUAAAGUGGUACGCGAGCUGGGUUUAGAACGUCGUGAGACAGUUCGGUCCCUAUCUGCCGUGGGCGCUGGAGAACUGAGGGGGG
rnacentral:rRNA from 1 species